AACAUGCUCCCUUAGAUCCACCUUUGUGGAAGUCCGCUUAUGCUGAGUCCUGCUAAUUGCACGUUUUGGGCUUUUAGCCGUUCCAGCUAAGACGACCAGCAACUUUUUUGGUUGUACAGUCAAAGGUGCUUGAGUCAUUGGCAUGUGAGACUAAUAUACCUGCACAUUUGUCUUGGCAUUUUGAUGGCCGUGGUUUCACAACCACUUGCCACCAUCAGAAUAUUGCAUAUGUGCGGACAUG
rnacentral:snoRNA from 1 species